UACGUAGGGGGCAAGCGUUGUCCGGAAUCAUUGGGCGUAAAGAGCGUGUAGGCGGCCUGGAAGGUCAGCUGUGAAAACUCGAGGCUCAACCUCGAGACGUCGGUUGAAACCACCUGGCUAGAGUCCGGAAGAGGAGUGUGGAAUUCCCGGUGUAGCGGUGAAAUGCGCAGAUAUCGGGAAGAACACCCGUGGCGAAGGCGGCACUCUGGGACGGUACUGACGCUGAGACGCGAAAGCGUGGGGAGCGAACAGG
rnacentral:rRNA from 1 species